rnacentral:rRNA from 1 species
AGCAGCCGCGGUAAUUCCAGCUCCAAUAGCGUAUAUUAAAGUUGUUGCAGUUAAAAAGCUCGUAGUUGAAUUUCGGGGUCAGUAGGUUGGUCGUGCCACCGGUACGUACUGGUCUCACUGAUUCCUCCUUCCUGAUGAGCUGUAAUGCCAUUAAUUUGGUGUUGCGAGGAAUCUGGACUGUUACUUUGAAAAAAUUAGAGUGUUUAAAGCAGGCUAACGCUUGAAUACAUUAGCAUGGAAUAAUGAAAUAGGACGUUCGAUCUUAUUUUGUUGGUUUCUAAGAUUGACGUAAUGAUUAAUAGGGAUAGUUGGGGGCAUUAGUAUUCAAUUGUCAGAGGUGAAAUUCUUGGAUUUAUUGAAGACUAACUACUGCGAAAGCAUUUGCCAAGGAUGUUUUCUAUUAAUCAAGAACGAAAGUUAGGGGAGUCGAAGACGAUCAGAUACCGUCGUAGUCUUAACCAUAAACUAUGCCGACUAGGGAUCGGAUGAUGUUAAUUUUUUAAUGUACUCAUUCGGCGUC